rfam:Staphylococcus saprophyticus strain CNV2 Spades_3, whole genome shotgun sequence.
CUUUGAGUUAGAGGUUGCAUUUUUAAUCAGUAACUUUUCAAUGGCUUGAUGGAGCCCAGAUUGAAAUAGCAAAAGGUAAAAAUGCCGAAACACACAAUAACCAUUAUUGUUGUGUGUUGGGUCAGUCAUCGAUAAGAUACUGGACUGUCACAUAUGUGAUGUGCUACCUAGUAU